rnacentral:rRNA from 1 species
GAGUUUGAUCCUGGCUCAGGACGAGCGCUGGCGGCGUGCCUAAUACAUGCAAGUCGAGCGGAUCUUCAUUAGCUUGCUUUUGAAGAUCAGCGGCGGACGGGUGAGUAACACGUGGGCAACCUGCCUGUAAGACUGGGAUAACUUCGGGAAACCGGAGCUAAUACCGGAUGAUCCUUUUUCCUCUCAUGAGGAAAAGCUGAAAGACGGUUUCGGCUGUCACUUACAGAUGGGCCCGCGGCGCAUUAGCUAGUUGGUGAGGUAACGGCUCACCAAGGCGACGAUGCGUAGCCGACCUGAGAGGGUGAUCGGCCACACUGGGACUGAGACACGGCCCAGACUCCUACGGGAGGCAGCAGUAGGGAAUCUUCCGCAAUGGACGAAAGUCUGACGGAGCAACGCCGCGUGAGCGAUGAAGGCC